rnacentral:rRNA from 1 species
AGUUUGAUCCUGGCUCAGAAUGAACGCUGGCGGCGCGCCUAACACAUGCAAGUCGAGCGAGAAAGUUCCUUCGGGAAUGAGUACAGCGGCGGACGGUUGAGUAACACGUGAGAAUCUACCCUUCAGUGAAGAAUACCUUCGGGAAACCGAAGUUAAUGCUGCAUACGUCCCUUCGGGGAGAAAAAUGGCCUCUUUGCUGUUGCUGAAGGAUGAGCUUGCGGGCUAUCAGCUUGUUGGUGAGGUAAAAGCUUACCAAGGCUAUGACGGCUAGCCGGCCUGAGAGGGUGAUCGGCCAGACUGGAACUUAGACACGGUCCAGACUCCUACGGGAGGCAGCAGUGAGGAAUAUUGCGCAAUGGGCGAAAGCCUGACGCAGCGACGCCGCGUGGAGGAUGAAGGUUUUAGGAUUGUAAACUCCUGUUAAGUGAGAAGAAAUACCUAGUUAUAAUACAGCUAGGGGAUGACGGUAUCAUUAGAGAAAGCACCGGCUAACUUCGUGCCAGCAGCCGCGGUAAGACGAGGGGUGCGAGCGUUAUUCGGAAUUAUUGGGCGUAAAGGGUGUGUAGGCGGUAUAUUAAGUCAACUGUUAAAUUUUCUGGCCUAACCGGAAACAUGCGGUAGAAACUGAUAUGCUGGAGGAUGGUAGAGAGAAGUGGAAUUCUCGGAGUAGCGGUAAAAUGCGUAGAUCUCGAGAGGAACACCAAUGGCGAAGGCAGCUUCUUGGACCAUUUCCGACGCUGAGACACGAAAGCGUGGGGAGCAAACAGGAUUAGAUACCCUGGUAGUCCACGCUGUAAACGAUGAUCACUGGAUGUCAGUUUUGCUUGCAAAAUUGGUAUCGAAGCUAACGCGUUAAGUGAUCCGCCUGGGGAGUACGGUCGCAAGACUAAAACUCAAAGGAAUUGACGGGGGUCCGCACAAGCGGUGGAACAUGUGGUUUAAUUCGACAAUACGCGAGGAACCUUACCUGGGUUUGACAUGUACUUGACCGCUGUAGAAAUAUGGUUUUCCAAGAUUUAUCUUGGACGGGUACACAGGUGCUGCAUGGCUGUCGUCAGCUCGUGUCGUGAGAUGUUGGGUUAAGUCCUCUAACGAGCGCAACUCUUACUGUCAGUUGCUAUCCUUCGGGAGCACUCUGACGGGACUGCCUGGGAAACCAGGAGGAAGGUGGGAACGACGUCAAGUCAUCAUGGUCCUUAUGCCCAGGGCUACACACGUGUUACAAUGGUCGGUACAACGGGCUGCAAGCUGGUAACAGUGAGCUAAUCCCUUUAAAGCCGAUCUAAGUUCGGAUUGAGGUCUGCAACUCGACCUCAUGAAGUUGAAAUCGCUAGUAAUCGCGCAUCAGCAACGGCGCGGUGAAUACGUUCUCGGGCCUUGUACACACCGCCCGUCACGCCAUGAAAGCUGUCUGUGCCCGAAAUUACCUUAGCUAACUCGUAAGAGAGGCGGGUGCCUAAGGCAUGGGGAGUGAUUGGGGCGAAGUCGUAACAAGGUAACC